UGACGGAGCGAAGCGACGUCAAAGCGUUCAUUAAAGUCGAGUUGGCUUAGGGAUACGUUCGUUGGGUAGGGGAGCGUUCUGUAAGCCUGUGAAGGUGUGUCGUGAGGCAUGUUGGAGGUAUCAGAAGUGCGAAUGCUGACAUAAGUAACGAUAAAGCGGGUGAAAAGCCCGCUCGCCGGAAGACCAAGGGUUCCUGUCCAACGUUAAUCGGGGCAGGGUGAGU
rnacentral:rRNA from 1 species